CACCUAAUAUAUUAUCACCAAGUAGAGCAAAAAUUCAAUUAAUAAACGUUCUUGACGCAUUUAAAUAAGGUAUUGUCGCCUUAGGAGUCAGAAAACUACACAUAAGUAACGGUUUUUAAUAUGACUGCUGCUGUUGCGAAUGUUGCUGCAGAUGCGGUUUUGUCAGCAGUCUAAACAAAGUAUUACUCAAAAUUUCUUUCUUAAAUAAUGGUUCUAAAUAAUUUUUACACUCUGGUCUUAUUGCUUGUAAAUGUAAAUAGUUUAUCUAAAGUUAGUAAAAUUGUUGAUAUGUAAUAAACGAACAUAAAAAAAAUUAUUCACUUCAGCUUGUUACAGUUUUGUUAACCGUAUAUGGGAAGAAUCGUACAAGUGGCAUUUUAAACGAGAAUUAUACCAUUUAUGCAUAAAUCAUGUUUCCAUUAAAACGGUGAUAGUUUUUCCUUUUGGUAGUAUUAUUAUUUUAAACUUUGAUGCGAAUAGCAGGAUCCAAACCCAUAAAUUCCGGAAUGGUUAACUAAAUAUGGAAAACAAGAGAGCUUGGACACGCUGCCAAUAAUAAUCGUAUACCAUAUAAUUGAUAUUCUUAUAAUAAUAAUUUUAUUUUAUUUUUAAGAUGACAUUACUAAUAUAAAUGUCUAAUUACACGUCAAAUUAAUAGUCAUAAGUGUUGUAAAUGCUUUUAGCAAGCACGAAAAUAAAUAUAUAUUAAAAAUUUGAUCCAAAAUAUCUGAUGAGACACAUCCAUAAUACAUAAAAGAAU
rnacentral:sRNA from 1 species